AAUCCUUUCCUCCCCAAUUUGCAUUUGGUUCUGGUGUUGUAUCUGACCUAUAGAAAGCAAAAGAAGUCCAGCCGGGUCCAGGAAAUGACAACAAAUGUCUUCAAAAGAAGGGAAAGAGGAUGAGGAGAAGGGCAGGGAGGACAAGGAAACAGGGAUUCCAGGGUGGCCUCAGCAGCAGUGGGGAGGAAGAAAAGGCAGUAGAUGAAAGAAGUCACCAGGCAAAGUGAAUAAGGAAGAAGCCAGAGGGAACUCUGCAGGUCACCUGCAGGGCAUGGAGCAGCGGGGGUGUGGGGUGCAGGUCUCCUUGGCUGGGUGUUCCCUGAGAGCCCCCACUGUGAACCCUGAAGCUGAUGGCAAACACACCAGGCACAAGAGACAUGGUGCAGAGCAGCCAAAGUGCAGCUCUGUGCCUGUGAAUGUCUGCGUAGAACUGAAGCUGACUUUCAAUCCAGGUCAUUGAAAUUCAGAGCAAUUCAGAGAAUUUCAGGGCAGCCAAAUUGGUAAGGUAGGGCGCUGAGAAUUAGAUGUGAAAUAUGAAGUUUUAUCGGUGAGGAUAGAUUAUUUUUUCCUUUUGUUUAACAUAGUGGUUUUUCUACAUAGCCGUAGUCUGUGGACACUGGUAUGGUAUCAGACAACAAAAGAUGUCUGGAGAGAGCUCCAGCCCUGCUCACUCUGAACCCACUCACUCUGAAUUCGCUUGCCCCAGGCCUUAGCCUUUAAAGCUGACAUGGUAAGGACCUGCAUUAUCUGUCUCUUGCAUCUUUCCUCUAUCUUUCCUAUAAUCAUCCUCACUCCCCCCUCAGAGGACUGUUCCACUUCAUACCAGCCAGACUGAUGCGUCCUCUGAGAGGCUCUACCAGCAGCUGACUGAGACAGAUGCAGGCACGCACAGCCAACCACUGGACUGAGGUACAGGUCUACUGGCUCUGUAAGGUGUCGAUGGACUUGCUACAAAUCCACUUCCUUUUAAUGUAGACCCUGCUACUGCUGAUCCCAUUGUCACUCAGGAAGCCAAACAUUCCAUCUCCUCAGAUGGAAAACCUAAAGGAAAAAAAAAGAACUGUGCAGAGUCUGUCAUUGCAUUCACUCCUGCAAUCAUUAUCUCACUCAUCUUCACCACUUGUUUAUGAUAAGAAUCAGAAGCAGAGUCCACUGGAAUCCCAUGCACUAGUUUUGCAUCUAGGGACUAAGACAUCCUCAGGGGUUGAUUUUAUCACCACAACUCUGUCACAUACAGGUGUUGAACCCAGUAUUGUGUGCACAAUGCUUUCUGCCAUGUUCAAAUGAACUGCAGGAGUGGGUAGCCCCACAAGGGGGAUUUCAAUGCUUUCUUAAAGUAGUUUUACACAUAUAUGAAAGUGGGAGAAAAUGCACGACUUAGUAAAUUGCUGAAUUAUGGAGAUGACUGGUUCUCUGUUUUAGCCUUCCAUUGAAAUGGGUCUGUUCAAAUGGCUGUGCUCAUAUCCAAGAGCUGUCCCCUGUGCCCUUUGAUAACAAGGGGAGACUCUCUCUGCCCCUGGAAUCUCUGAUUUGGUGAACAGGUAAAACCAUGCAAACAGAGGACUGAUCAUUCUCAGGCUUGCAGUUCUGAAGUGGCUUCCUAAGGUUUCAGAGACCUUGGCCAUCAGAAGUUCUGUCUGCAUCACACAAGGGCAGUUAUCACCAAGGAACAAUUUUCAAGUGCUGAUAGCAGACAACAUCCACCCCAGAUACCAUCAUCAUGCUAAGUUUUGGAGUGACAUAGCACUAUGGAAAUGCUUCAGGAUGAUGGCUACUAGAUGGGAGAGUACCCAGGUGAUGGAAAUGUGUCAGGGUGUGGAGUUUGAGGGGAAUCGGCUGUUGAAUGUGAGCACAAACUCUACCUCUAAGCCACGACUACAGCCCAAGGGUUGAUUUUUUUGUCUUCAGUCCAAGUAUAUUUGCCUUCACGUGGCAAUGACUUUCAUCCGUCAUAGCCACAACACACACAAAUCAUAACACAAACACAGGAGAAGGAAAACAUACAAGUUGUUAUACUCCGUGUUGUCUGUCCACCUCCAUGGGUGCUUUGACGACUCUCUGUGCAGGCCGAUCCAGUAGCCAGAAGGUCCCUUGUGUGUAUUCAGAAAAUUCUGUAAUAAAACACAAAAAGCAAAUACAUGUGUCUCUCUAUUUCAAACGAAGCUUGAGUCUCUCCACUCCACAGCGUCCUCUAGACAUCACAGGAGGACGCAAGUGAGGGUCACAGAUUUUGGAGCUGUACUAGUUACUAGUUCUCAGGGGAUCCACUUGACAUCUGAAAGUCUAAGUUGUCUCCUUCUGUGUGCAACCUGUGCCAUCUUACAUGAAAAAGCUCAGGACCACAAGGAAUCCCAGGAAAAUGGCAGAUCUGGCCUUCCAGAGCCUUCAGGGUGUCAUCUUCCCAGGGAUGCUGAGCCUGGCCCCAUGUACACUCUGUGGCCUGUGUGUUCCUUCACUGCCUCUUCCUGCCGGAACCUACAUUCCCCGAGAACAGGAACUCCCAGUGUGUUUUCUCUGGAGCCUGUCCCAAAAUUCCUCACAUUGGUCAAUCAGUAUAACUGCCAACAUGAAUGUGAACAGAAUGCCUCAGAAUUUGGAGAGUGAGUCACUUACCUGGCAAAGCACCAGAAAGAGCAACUACAGCUGCAGUGAGGACCACGAUCACGCCACAGCAGCAGUAAUACUUAACACAAGACCCAGAAGAGACAAUUCUGAGACCUUUUCUUUGGAUAAUUUUGCCUGUAAAAUAUAAAUAUAAGAAUGCCAAUUUCAAAUAAUUUCAUAAGGAAAAUAAAAUAAAUUUACCACAAAACCUACUUUACAAUUGCCUAUAUGUUCCUGAAAGGCUUCUGCCAAACCUUUGGAGAAGGCCCUGGUCCACAAAGGAUGACCAUGGUAGAAAGAAAUCUAGAGAGGAUGGAAACAGAACUUCUGCCAGGAAAUCUCCUGUCACUAAACUCCAGGUGAAUCAUGAAAAAGCAAAAAUAGAGGGAGUGGGGAGCCUAGUAAAAUGUAAACAACAUAAAUCUGGAUUUGGCUCCAUAAAAAGUGCCCUGAUUAGAAGGAGUUAUGGAAACAUUAGAAAAAGAAACAUUGAUGUAGUUAGACAUAUUAACAAUAUAAGAAACGAGGAAAAACUAGAAAUAUCUCAAAAACACAGCAAAAUUAUAUGAAAAAUAGAAGUAAAAGGAACUUCCUCAACCCUAGGAAAGUUAUCCCUUAAAAACAAAACUGUAAGCCCAACAGCAGUCUGCUUCUUUGACAAUGGUGCAAUUGUGAAUGUUUUCCCAGCAAGCAGGAGCAAGAGCUGGAUGUCUGCUCAUUACUCCAGGUAGACUUUUCCCAGGAGGUCCUCGCCAGGACAAAGAAAUGGGGUCAGGUGUCUGGAGGAUGGCUCAGCUGUUAAGAUCACUUCCAGCUCUUCCAGAGGACCUGAUUGAAGUCCUGGACCCACGAGGUAGCUUACAGCAAUGCACAGCUCCAGUUCCGGGGGAUCCAUUGUCCUCUCCUGGCUUCUGUAGGCACUGGGCAUUCAUGUUAUGCACAAACCUGCAGGCAAGCAGCCACGGACAUAAACUGAGAUUCUUAAAGAACAAAAGAAGCUUUACACUUCUUGGAAACAGGUGAAACUGUUUCUCUUCACAGAUGGCAUGGUUCUAUCUACAUAAAAAUUCUAACAAAUCUACAAAAGACUGCUUGGUGUACAAAAUGGGUUUACGAAGCUGCAGGACAGGGCGUCAACAAGGUGACAUCAGUUAUAUGGUCCUGUCACGUGGAAAUUCAUAUCUUAGACAGUGCUCUUUACAGUAAUGCCAAAAAAACAUAAAAUUACAAAUCUAAAAGUAGGGUGUUCAUAAUCAGCAUAACAAGAAAACUACAUGUAAAUCUAUAAAGAAAUAAUAAUAGAAAAGUAGGCUCCGUGGUUAGGAGCACUUGUUGAUAUUGCAGAAGAUCUGGGUUCAAUUCUAGCACCAAUAUAGCAAGUCACAAACCUCUGUGAUUACAGAUUCUGGGACUCUGACAACUUUCCUGGCCUUGGUGAGCACUGAAAAUGCAUAAGCAAAUAUGUGCGACAUAUUGCCGAGGGGUGGUUACCUUCAGAAAGAAAUAACAUAGCACCAAGUUAUAUGAGAUGUACUAUGAAAAUUAAAAAGAAUACAGAAUGGUCAAAAAUUAUUCUGAAAAAGAAGAGGUCCAAAUUAGAAACAUCACAAGGCCUAAUCUAAUGCUUCAUGUCCUUGUGGGAACAGGAAUGAAAGUCUGGUGCUAUCAACAGAGUGAACAUUGAAACAACUCAGAAGAAAACAGGACUCCAGAAUGACAUCAAACACAGGUGGUCAACAGACACUUAACAGAGAUAACAGUUUUUAGACAGCAAAAGGGUGGUGUCACUCCAGUGUGUGCUACUGAAAUCACCUGCCAUCUGUCUGCUAAAAAAACAGACACAAACUACUACAGUCCAUCUGUAGACAUAUAGACCCAAGCACAAAGUUUAAUAUCAUAAGUCUUUUGAUUUUUAGAAAACUAAGGGAGAAUGUUUGUGAACUUGUCUUGGACAAAAAUUAUGUUAGAUUUAAGAGCAAAAUCACUGUUUGCAUAACAAAUAGUGGUUAUUCAGAGGAUAGAUAUUCAUUGAUGUGGAUGUAGAUGUUGACAUAGAACUAACACAUUUUUAAAGCUAAAUUGUACAGCUACUACAAAGCUGUUUGGAAGUGUAAAAUAUGAAUGACAUGCUCCCAACCUACCCACAUAUCCCCACGCUGGAAAGGGCAGUCUACAUUCAAGUUGCAAGAAAUAUUUAUGUGAAUAUUUACAGCAGCUGUAAGAAUCCCUGUAAAAAUGACACAUUUGUGACCAUUGAAACGUCCCCAAGCUGAUGACAAGGUAAAACUUUUCUCAACACAAGAAACAAUUCGGACCACAUGCCUGCCCUUGACCUAUCUCAUGCCACUAUAACAGGAUAAAUGUCCCAACGGCUUCUUCCUCCAAAAGUCCCCUAACUAAGACUGCCAGGAAGUUUAUGCAAACUUGAGGUCAGAGAGCUACAGGAUCUGGUCCCCAUGCAGCUUACUUUGAGAAGAGACCUCCCAACUGCCUGCUUCCUCCUCUCACUUCUCUAGAAGUUUCCUGCCAGCUUUUCAUAACCUCUUUCUAUAGAAUUUGCUGGUGAGAUUCAGGCAAAAUUCUGAAUUCAGAGCACAGCUCUGUCAGAGGUGCUAUGAUUAUGGCGUCUCAGCAUCAAGGCAGUAGUGCUUGUUUCUGACAUGCUACUAAGAGGCACUGCACUGUGAGUGAAGAGCAGAGGGCACUGCUGUGACUGCUGAAAGAACUCAGGAGGCAAGUCUCUGCUUCAUGGAUCCACUUGUGGCUUCUGGAAAGCUUCUGUUCCAGAAACCCACUUCGUAAUAGCUGCAGGCAGCUAUGGAACCCUACAUAUUGGCGCCAGAACGUGGGGCAACCUGGUACGGGAGAAUUUCCUGAGGUAACCCUAUCGAGUGAAGCUUCGCAGAAAAGGUGAUAAGGAAUGGUAUCUGCACGGUAAGCAACAUAGAGGUCAAAACUAGCGCUAGUGGAAAAUUGUUUCUAUCGUUGUGAGUGCAGAGGGAUACGGGUUUUUCAAGCAAACUGUGUUGACCCGGCACAGUGGCCGCUUGGGUUGAAAAGAUAGGGAAAUAUGGGGAAGGAAUUUGGUAGGCAUUUGCCCAAAGCUCGUAAGAGCUGAUUCAGGCGUAAAAGAAAGGGGUUUUAAAAAUAGGCAUAUGUGUAUCUUUCCGUGUUUGUCCCGGUGCACCGACUGUUUGUCUAUGUGUAUGUUUAUGUCCUCUCUGUGUUUUUGUGUGAAUGUCUGUUUCAUGUUAAAAAGAAAAAUUGGUAAGGAUUUCAUCUGCUGGUAACCUCUUGAGCCAGCCACAGUUUGUGUGGGGAUUGAUUUAAAGCUGCACCGCAGCAGCGCAGCUCACUCACCCCAGAGGCAAGCAUGGCUGGGGAAAAAGCCGCUUUUAAAAGCCCAGAAGCCUCAAGAUUUGGGAAAACUUUGGUUUGGCUUGUGAAAUUCAUGUAGUAGCUUUAUACUUGUUUCUAAUUAGUUUUAAUGGUAUAAGGCUUUACAUGUCUUGACUAAUGAGUUAUAAAUUAAUUGGUUAUUAUGUAAAAGGUAUAGUGUUAUUAAGAAAAGGUUAGUUUAAAACUGGUGAUUCAGUGUUGGAGCCAUCUUAACUAGCUACACGUGGCCUAACGCAACUCAUGCUUUGUUCUUGUUUAUAAUUAGAUUUAAAGGUAUAUUUUGCAUGUCUUGACUAUAGAGUAUUGGCUUAAGUCACUGGACAUGCUUUAAAAGGUAUAAUGUUAUUAACAAAAGUUAGGUUAAAGCUGGUAGUUUAGGGUAGUCACCAUUUUUAAACAACACGUGGCAUGACGGUUAAAGCUGGUAGUUUAGGGUAGUCACCAUUUUUAAACAACACGUGGCAUGACGGUUAAAGCUGGUAGUUUAGGGUAGUCGCCAUUUUUAAACAACACGUGGCAUGACGCAAUCCAGGAAAUACAGGCCUUUAAGAUGCUCCUAAAUUGGCAUGGUGUUUCAUGUGAAUCUUGGCCUGGAGAUUGGACUUAAUGAAGAUUAAGAUUUAAAAUAUUGUCUCUUUAAUAAGUUACACUGUCAUACACUUGAACAUAAGAACUGGCAGACAAACCUUGUGCUGUAAAUAUGUGUUUGCCAUUGAUUUUAAAGAAAAUAGAUUGUUUAAAAUUGGGAUUUGCUUCCAAAAUUACAAUUGUGCUCUAAUAUUACAAGAAAACAUUGAGUUACAAUAAAAAUCAGUGUGUCAUUGGCUGCAGUUUUCAGUUUGCAGACUCAUAAUUCUUAACAUUUUGUAAUUAAGAUAAUUUUGAGAGUGAUACAGCUAUGGGUUUUAGAGGCCCAUUGCCACUUUUCCACAAGUUUAUAGGCUACAAUGGUAGGAGCAAAAUUUAACCCUCCAAGAUUAAAAAGGAGAUCUCAGUGGAAAUGUAUUUGAUAUCAAGUAGGUUCCUUUGACCAUGGAAUUACAGGUUUCUUUUGUUUAAUCCUCAAAACGUCCUAGCAGGUUUGGGUCUGGUCUUAGAUAAAAGGCUCAGAUCUAGUCCUUGCCAAGGACUAAAGGUGGAUCCUAGGGCAGAUAAAGAAAAAAAAAAUGUUUUGUUUCUGUUUCAAUACUAGAAGUUAAGAUCUUAAAAUUUUCAGUGUAUAAUGUUCAUAGAAUGUUUGUGACAGGCCCUUGCUCCUAUGGACUUUUAGAAUUUUUAGGUAAAUGGCUUUCAAAAGUUGUUAAGAUAUAUUAAUUGGCUUUAUCUUAUAUUUACCUCAUUUUAAGCUUGCCACAGAAGGUCUUAAACCUCUGUUUUCAAGAUAGGAAACGUUUGUUCCUUGCUUCAAGCAACAAUCAAAUUUAUUAUUAAUGGUUGAUCUAUUACAUGGCAAGCAUUUUUAGGCAAAAUUAAUAAUUGUUAUCCAAAAGAUAACUUAUACUAUCAGAUCACAUGUUUAUUCCUUUAAGUUUUUCCCUGCUUCAACACAGAUACCUGAAUUGGGUGCUAUAGCAGCUAUUUUUAAGAUGUUAAAAGUCAAGCUUUUAAUAAUAGUAGAGAUAUAUAUAUAUAUAUAUAUAUAUAUAUAUAUAGCUCAUGGUUUAUAAUUGCUUAAAAUAGGUCCAUUUUUAAUACUGCUAAUUCUUAAUAUUUACAGUUUAUGCAAAUGUGAUUCAAAAUUCUAAGAACAAAGGAUAUGUUGUCUAAAUGACUGUCCUUUAGGUAUUUGAAAUAAUUUUAUAUUUUGUGCACAUCAAAUUAUAAAGAUUUGUUCUUAAUGUCCUCAAUUUCUACCUCUACCAUGUAAUGGUGUUAAUCCUAGAGGACUUAGUUAUUACAAAUGAUACAAAUGAUAGUUAUUAUAAAUGAUAUUCAUAUUUCUAAUUUAGAAGAUUAAAAAAUAUGUGCAUGUGACUAAUGAUUCAUUUUUAGGCUGUCUAGUUGCAACUGCUCUAACAGAAAAAGCAACUAAAAAUGCUAUGUUUAUUUUAUAUAAUUACAUAGUUAUUGCCUAUGUUAUGGGUUAUACUUUGUGUUCCAACUUAAAUUAAUAAAACAAUAUCUUCUUGGAAGAGAGAAGAGAGGGGAAAUCGUGUCCCUGUGCAUAUCAUUUAUAUUAUGCUUGCAUAUUUUUAAGAAAAUUUUAAAAUUUGGAUGCCUAGAAACUCCUUGCUAAAUGUAUAUGACAUCUUGUAAUUAGGCAUAUUGAUGUCUAGGUGAAAUGAAGGAAUUCACUUAUUGACAUAUGCCAUGAUCCUGAUUUAAUAUUGGGGAAGGCAUGUCCCCUAUGUUUUUUCCACAGAAUGCUGCAGAAAAUAUGCCGACUGUGUGCUUGCUGAAUGCCCAGACCAUGGUAACAUAAGAGCUAUAUUGGGUAUAUGUUCUUGACUUACCUUAAUUGUCAAAUGUCCCAGGUUAGAUAAAUUGCCUAGCUUCAAGCUCUUAGACUUGUGGGACAGAACAUGGAGACUGUUAAGCUAGCUUAGGAAAAAUUAAUCUAAAGAAGAGUUAAAAUGACUCUUCUCCUUAUUGUGUUCAGCUGACUCAACCAUAGACUGGUCUAGAAAUAAUUCCAAUAUUGAGGAUUCCAAUUUUGAAGAUGGCUAACGAUCUUCAGCCAGCUGUGUUAAUUUAACAUAUAGUCUCCACUUUUCCGGAGAAGUAACAGCAUAUCUCUUGAUACACAAGGCUACCUCUCCCACCCCAGAGGCCAAGCUUUGGGUCCUUAAAGUUGUUAAUUUGCAACUGAAUUGGAUACUUCAGGGACAAGUUAAUCCUAUUCCACCUUUAACUCUUGACCUUGUUUGUUAAGCAGACUGGCUGUCUCCACCCAGGCUCACCUGGAUGGAGAGAUUGCAUGUCUGUUAAAGACACUUGCAGACCCCCCUGGCUUCAAAACUUACACAAGUGGAUCUCCAAAGAGGGAGCCACAUAGAACUCAGAUCUAUGUGUGUUUGUUUAAGAGCAAACAUGGGUACCAGUGAGACGUGCGAGGCAAAGCACCGCCUGGGGAGGUGAAUUUCUGCUUCUGAGUCCCCAGGAAGUACACCUAAUUGCAUAGGGGUUAACGUCGAGAGGCUGUCCUUAAAAUAAUAAGGGAGCCUAUUACCCCUCCUCUGAAAAAGACGUUAUACAAUAUUUAAGAGGAAUUACGGUCAAUGCUUCCCCUCCUGGUUAAGGCCCGCCUUCUUAUGAAGGAUAUUUAUCCACUUGUUUUCUACCUCCUCGUGUUCUAAUUAAUAAAAAAAGGGAGGACAUGUACAGAGCCAUAUUGGGGCGGUCAUGCACUGGGUCAGAGUUUGACUUUGGUCAAGGUUAACUUCUCCCAGAUAGCCAGGAUCCUGUUCCACCUAGGGCCGAGUGCUUGAAGUAAAGGUUAAGUUCAUUGUUCCUCCAGGUCUUGGAAUUCCUGAAUUAAACAGGUGACCCACCCAGUUGCCAGAGCAGUCAAGACGAGGACCUCCAAGAGAAGCUAGACAACUUCCACCGGAACUCAGCCUGGAGUCUGGGGGGAAGGGUUUGCCCAAACUGUUAAAAGGUCUGGCGCCAUUAAAGUUUCUGGCUUUGACCAGUGAA